rnacentral:lncRNA from 1 species
UUUGCUUCAGUUAGGAAAAAAAGACUGCUCAGGGCUUGCUCGGUCCCUCUGUGUUCCAGAGUUUCUGCUCAAAUUGUAUUUGGAAGAUUACAGAAUGCAGGACCAUUUGAGCUCUGCAUCACGUUGUUAUGAUCUUGACAGUAGACCUAUAACGAUUUUUUGUCGUCAUUAUCCGGUCCCUACUAUCUCNUUGAGCUCUGCAUCACGUUGUUAUGAUCUUGACAGUAGACCUAUAACGAUUUUUUGUCGUCAUUAUCCGGUCCCUACUAUCUCUGGUCGAGGAGCACUUCACUGAGGUGAAUUUCAUGAAAUGAACACAGACGAGUUUUGUCAUUACUUCGUGCAUGAAAUUGUCCUGGAAUUUCGUUCUUUUAAUUCAUUAAUGUAAGAAAAGAGUGAUUUGGAGAUGAAAUUUUUUUUUUUUAUUUUUUUAUUUUUUUGGUGAUUUAGAAAAAGGCACAAACAAUGCCCCAUAACUUAGAAUCUAAUACAAGUUUGAUAUGAUGUGCUGGCUUUUCGAAAU